rnacentral:tRNA from 1 species
UGGGCCAUCGCCAAGCGGUAAGGCAUAGGACUUUGACUCCUACAUUCGUGGGUUCGAAUCCCGCUGGCCCAG